rnacentral:rRNA from 1 species
UACAGAGGUCUCAAGCGUUGUUCGGAUUCAUUGGGCGUAAAGGGUGCGUAGGCGGCGCGGUAAGUCGGGUGUGAAAUCUCGGAGCUUAACUCCGAAACUGCAUUCGAUACUGCCGUGCUUGAGGACUGGAGAGGAGACUGGAAUUUACGGUGUAGCGGUGAAAUACGUAGAUAUCGUAAGGAAGACCAGUGGCGAAGGCGGGGUCUCUGGACAGUUCCUGACGCUGAGGCACGAAGGCCCAGGGGGAGCAAAACGGGG